GUGUCAGCAGCCGCGGUAAUACGAAGGGGGCUAGCGUUGUUCGGAAUUACUGGGCGUAAAGCGCACGUAGGCGGGUUUGUAAGUAGAGGGUGAAAUCCCCGGGCUCAACCCGGGAACUGCCUUCUAAACUGCAAGCCUGGAGGUCAGGAGAGGCGAGUGGAAUACCGAGUGUAGAGGUGAAAUUCGUAGAUAUUCGGUGGAACACCAGUGGCGAAGGCGACUCGCUGGACUGAUACUGACGCUGAGGUGCGAAAGCGUGGGGAGCAAACAGGAUUAGAAACCCGCGUAGUCC
rnacentral:rRNA from 1 species